CGUUCUAAUGUACAUUUUGACCACAAAGGUGCGAUCAUGUCUCACAGAGGCAUAUAUGGUUGCUAUUCUCUGCGAGGGACGUGUUCUCGUGUUCGUGAAGCAUUUGUGUUUGGCAGUAUUGUCGCCCAAUGAGUCGGAUAUAAACACUAACUCGCCACUGCCGGCAAGUAGUUGCGAGAAACGCAUUAUGACGCUGUAAAGUUAUUUCAUUAAUUCGAAGGAAAGUUUUGCAGCAGGAAAAAAGGUUGCUAUUCCAGGUAAACAUGUCUUUUUCUCACAGGUUAUUUAGCCAAACUGUGGAUGCAUGAAAUUCGUGACUUAUGAAUAGAUUUUAAUUUGUUCUUUAGUAAUGCUUCUAAAAGAGACUAGAAAUAGCAUGUGACUACCUCUGCAAUCAGCAGACCAUACAUUUACAGUCAUAAGUGGCAGUUCCAUGCAGUCUCGCACUUUAUAUAACCUUUCCUUUCAGCACCAUUGGAACUGGUGGCUGCGUUUUCAGAAGUGCACUUGACACUGUAUAUGUAUGUGUGAAUUCGGUUUUCUUUGUAUGUGUCGGCUCACUGACAAACAGUGCAAAAAUCUGUUGUACCAUGAGCCUGACGACGCCUUCUGCUGCUAGAAAUGCGGCACUUCGUAUUUUAUAGUACUGCAUGACAUUUAAAUCAAAGCUACCACAUAAAAUGAUCAAGAAAACUAACCGCUGUUAUAGCUGUUUUCCUCAAAGAACGCUUGUCCUUUAUGGGCUGUGUUAAUCUGAGCUCUCCACCGAUGUUUCAGUAAUAUUAUCCUUUAGUGAGUGAGAGAUUGGGGGCAAUUAAUCGUGUUAGUGUUUAAGUGGUGUCCUAAUUAUGUGCAUUUGUUCCAACAAAGUUGUCUAGAUUACUUUAUUGUGUAGUGUAAAGCUUAUGAAACCAUCAGCAACUACUGAGUUGCUAACACGCAUAUGGAUUUGUCACUAUACAGGUGGAACUCGGCUGUACCACUGCAGUGCUGCGGAAAUUGCCUUCACCAGCGGCUUUGCAACAGCUGUUUCGCAGCAUGUCGGAGACAAUGCCUACGAAAUUAUUGGCCCUGAUCAUGAGAGCCCUCAAGGGGCAAACAACAUCUCUGUUGCAGAAGUGAGCCCGGUACCACUUGGAAGUUACCAUGACAGAUGACACGGCAGCAAUAGAUACAGAGACUGCCACGUCUACUGCAGCUGCAACAGUGUACGAGGCAAGCAGCAGCGCGUCAGCAGCAGUGUCAGAAGGAACCACACCAGGCCUGGUAGAGCAACAUGUGUGCUAUCACUGACUUUUUUUGUAGUGGAUACAACUCAUUUGCUCAACAUACAAAAGCUUUUCACCACGACUGUGAGCCAGUGUUAUUGUGCAGCAAGUGCAAGACUAAGUUAAGUGUUAUAACACAGUACAAGCAUCACUUUAACAUAUGAAAACAUAUUACAGUUGUUGCCUCCCCAGCCAGCCCACAUAGCCACAACAAUGUUGAACACAUGGUGGGACACACAUCUUCUCCAUUAGAAGAUAGUAGAGACUGUCAGUGUUGUUGUUAGAUUAACUGGUCUUUGUAGGCAACUAGGACAACACAGGUGUCAUAAGAUUGUUGAUGUUGUUGUUGAAGAGGUAAAAAAGAAGUUUGAUGCAGCUGAAGUGCCAACUGAUAUUGAGCAAAUCAAAAGCAACCACCUGAGAAAGCAACACUAUCGAAAUUUGGGUAUCUAUGUGCCGCCAACUCUGGUAAGAAUGGCAUAGGACAGAAGUGUGAUGAAAAUCACACAGACACUGCUGUUGCAUCACUGGCCACAGUGAGCAGCGACUUGUAGGGCAAGAGAGUCAACUGAAACUAACAUUAUGAUAUAGUGUCAUGCUCCCAUGUGACCACUUUUCAAGUUAUUUUGCAAGAUACAGCUCAACCUCCAGAAACGAGACUGCAAGUUGUCUGUAAAAAAGCUUUCACAAAAAAUUAUUCAUAACACUAUUAACAUAGUAUCUUUUUUUUUUGUGUCGGUUCGAGGUUCCCGGCUGUCCAUUAAUGCAAAAAUUGAGGAAAAAAAGAACGUGUCGUACUUACACCUUUUUAACAAGUACGAGGGGGACAGAACUUUUCUAGUCAUGCAUCUUCAUCAUACUACCAAGUUUUUAAAUGCCUUUUAUAAUUAUUAUUACCAGUUAUAUCUGAGUGCAUUGUAUGCAUGUAGCAGGUGUAAAAUCAGGUCAGUUGGAUCAGAUGCCUUAUCUGCAAGCGAGCCCUAAAUUCAAGAAAUUUGAAAUAAAAUAGUUACGUUAGAGACGCAGUCUUUCAGCACUUUAUUGCCUGUGGUUUAAGCAUUGCUCAAUACUUUUGUGGGUGGCAAUUUCAACCGGCACAGCACUGCGCUUUGCCACAGUCACAUUUGUCUUCAAAGCGGUGUUUACCAUUUGUGUUGAUCUGUUUGUGUAUGCAUAGAGCAAGUUUUUAAUUUAUAUUUUUCUGCAUUCUUGUGCUUGCACUAAGCUUGUAUAAGGCAGUUACAAAAUGUGCGGCACUAUAACGAACUGUUCUGUUGAGCUUACACUUGCAAAUAAUCGUGUUCAGAUGGCCGCACUUCUAUGCGGGUGCACCGCUAGCUUUGUGUAUGUUCUCAUGUUUGUAUAAAGCUUAUAUAAGCUAGUUAGAAAAUGUAUGUCACUAAGCAUUGUGAUAUUCUUUAAAGAACUGCUUGGUUGGUUUUACACUUGUGAAUUAGUAUUGAGGCGGUGGUAUUCCCAUGUAUGCCCACUGCUAGCUUUCUGUGUCCUCACGUGUUUGUAUUAAGUUUCUACAAGGGAGUUACAGCAUGUACGUCACUAAGCGCUGUGAUAUUUUUUAAAGAACUGCUUUGUUGGUUUUACACCUGUGAGUAAUAGUACUCGUGUGGCACUAGUCAUGUGUAGGUACACAGGGACCAUUUGUAUACAUUAUGCUCAUGUAAAGCAGUUACAAAGUGUAUGUCACUAAUUACUGUGAUAUUUGUUGAAUUGCUGUGAUGGUUUUACACAUGUGAAUAAUAGUGGUCAGGACACAGUACUUGCAGUGUAUAGUUGAAUUUAUACACUGCCAAGACAUGGGCUGUAUACGUACCAAAAGAAAUGUAUGUCAUUAUAUUGUUGUGAUUAUUACUGUUUGGAUUUUAUUAAACUGUAAUAAAAUUGUUUCUUGUAUCUAUUGA